UUAAUACUCCCUCCGUCCAACAAAAGAUGUCUCAAGUUUGUCAAAAUUUGGAUGUAUCUAGACAUGACUUAGUGUAUAGAUGCAUUCAAAUUUAAUCAAAGUUGAGACAUCCUUUGUUGGAUGGAGGGAGUACAAU
rnacentral:pre_miRNA from 1 species